rnacentral:rRNA from 1 species
AACGAACGCUGGCGGCAUGCCUAACACAUGCAAGUCGAACGAGACCUUCGGGUCUAGUGGCGCACGGGUGCGUAACGCGUGGGAACCUGCCCUUAGGUUCGGAAUAACUCCCCGAAAGGGGUGCUAAUACCGGAUAAUGUCUUCGGACCAAAGAUUUAUCGCCUUUGGAUGGGCUCGCGUUGGAUUAGCUAGUUGGUAGGGUAAAAGCCUACCAAGGCGACGAUCCAUAGCUGGUCUGAGAGGAUGAUCAGCCACACUGGGACUGAGACACGGCCCAGACUCCUACGGGAGGCAGCAGUGGGGAAUAUUGGACAAUGGGCGAAAGCCUGAUCCAGCAAUGCCGCGUGAGUGAUGAAGGCCUUAGGGUUGUAAAGCCCUUUUACCCGGGAUGAUAAUGACAGUACCGGGAGAAUAAGCUCCGGCUAACUCCGUG